rnacentral:lncRNA from 10 species
UUGCAUAUCUACUUCUGAACAAUAAUGGGAAUGGUUACAAUGACUGAUUCAGGCUGGGUCACGUACCUAAACUUGUGACCAGGGGUCUCUAGUUUUAGAAAUGGAAACCCCUUUCACAACCACGAUGUUGGAGAGGGAAGCAGCUACCUCAAAAGAAGGGAAUGAACGGUUGAGACCAGACAAUAUAAUAAGUGGCCACUCUCUGGUAGAGAAAGACUUUGGAGAAAACCACUCAGACUGCCUCCUCUCCCUCUUACUCUCCAGGGAGGAGAGAAGAAUGAUCAUCAAGGGCAGAAGGCAGUUACAUCGAAGCAACACUGAAAACUGGCUUCAUGCUCAGGAGAGAAUGCUGCGCUUUUUCCUCGUGAUUUGUGGUGCUCUACAUAUUCAGAGAAACUUCUCCAGUAACAAACUAUAGAAAUGAUCCCUCAAAGUAUAGUCUUCAAGAUUCUUAAUCACAUCUGAAAAGAGCCUUUGUCAUGCCAGACCCUUGCUGACAUCGAUAGGAGUGACACCCUGUUUGACAGGCUGAAGAAGAGACCUAGAGCCGGUGAAUGAAAUACAGGGUUUAUUGAAGGAACCCAGUGUCAAUGGGCUGGAUAAAAGAACAGCUACCACUUGUAAAAAACAUGCAGUUUAGGCCGGGUGUGGUGGUUCACGCCUGUAAUCCCAGCACUUUGGGAGGCUGAGGCGGGCAGAUCCUGAGGUCAGGAGAUUGAGACCAUCCUGGCUAAUACUGUGAAACCCCGUCUCUACUACAAAUACAAAAAAUUAGCUGAGCGUGGUGGCACAUGCCUGUAGUCCCAGCUACUUGGGAGGCUGAGGCAGGAGAAUCACUUGAACCUGGGAGGCGGAGGUUGCAGUGAGCCAAGAUCGUGCCACUGCACUCCAGCCUGGUGACAGAGUGAGACUCCAUCCCCAAAAAAAGAAAAAAAAAAAGAAAAUGCAGUUUAUGUGGCAUUUUCACUUAGCACCUUUCUCAUAUCAGCCUACACCUCACAACCUUCAUUUAACCCAAAACAAAGGGUUUUGAUCCCCUGUAUGGCUCAUGUUCCAUGGGAUGGGAUGGGGAUUGAGAUGUUCCUCGUAGAUAAGGAAUGAAUCUCCGGGUUGGCCACUUCCGGAUUCCUUAGCUUUGGACUCCACACACACAUUCUUUUUAGACCACAGGGUCAAUCUAAGGGUAUCAAGUUAAGUUAUUGCUGUCAGGUGUGUUUGCCAUACAGAGUCAUUCUCAGAAUAUAUGCUUAAGUUAUUGCUGAAAGGUACAUCUGUCAUAUGCCCAUUUUCCAUAUAACAUAACAUUUACAGGUUUCAGAAAUUAGAAACCAAUAUUUUAGGGAGAUUAUUUUUAGCCUACUCCUGUAUACCAUCCUAAAAAUAAGAAAUCCACACUAAAUUUGCCAAGACUAUUGAUUUGCCUUUGUAUCUAUUGGAAACACACACUUGAAUCCAUUGAUUAAAACAGCACCACAAAGUAAAUUUAACAAUACAUUUCAAGUUUUGAAAUGAAGCAUUCAUCAUUUUACAGUUCUAAGAAGAUAAAAGUAUGCAUUUGUGUCACAUUUAUGUGACACUUCAUAAAAAAGUGUUCAGGAAUCUAGAGGGAAUAGAUAAUCUCAGUUCUAGGAGAAAAAAAAAUGGCACAGGCAAAUGGGGUAAUUAGGGAGAUUAAUGAAAGAGAGUUUAGGGAAACCAAAAAUGGAUAGUGUGAUAGCAAAGGGGUGGAAAUAUGCCCCCUAGCUUUGAAAGGGGCAAGGGAAGGGAGAGAAUACCAAAAUUUAGAAUACCAAAAUGUAGAUAGAGCUGAGGCUGUGACUGUAGCUUCAGGAGAGGACUGCUGGAUAGGAGCCGUGGCCUUGGUAAAGGAGCUCAACCCCUCCCAGGCUUCCCUCUGGAAGGCGGAGCAAUUGCCUUACAGUGGCCAAAUCAAUGGGAAGUCAGGUGACAAGGAAGCCCAUUGAUGCUGUCCAUACAGAUAGAUUAGCCUCCUAGAAGAUGAUCAACUUGGAGAAAUGUAGAAAAUGAAUCUAGCUCUAAGGUCAAGAAAAAAAUAUUCCGUACUUGCUGCCAGAGAACUAUGAGGAAAAGCAUAGUAUCCUGGAAUCAGAGGGAAAAGAGUAUUUCAAGAAGGCAGGUAGGUUAAUAUUUCAAAUGGAGCUGAGAGGUCAAGUAAGAUAAGGACUAAGAGAUAUUCAUUGACUUUUAAGACAAGGAGAUCUUUGGUGACCUAAGUCAGUUCUGCUUAGAUGCAGUGGUGAGUGAUGACACUGGAUUGGAUUAGUGUGAAGAGUGAGGUAAGCAAGUGGAGACAGCAAAGGCAGACAAGAAAAUUCAUUCAAGUUUGUUUUGGAUGGGAAAAGAGACAUAGGGCAAUAGCUGAAAGACAAGAGGGGAUUGAAUAAAAAUAUUUUUCUCUCCCAAGUUAGGAAAAAUCUUAACCAGGUAAGAAUGUUAAUGAAAAGACAAAGGUGAGAGGGAGUAGGGAGAGAACCGUGGAGAAGUGUCCGUCAUUCUCACCCAGGAAAGAUUGCUCUGAUGAAUUAGCCAUGUCUGUUAUGGACAUGAGGUGAGAGCGGAGGGAUGAAUGUGUGUUACUGAUUCUAAUUCAAUCUCUAUUUUAUAGAUAAAAUUGUGUCCUACAGAUGGCGAAAGUGGGGAGUCAUUUGUUCAUUAUUCAGGUAACUAGUAAGAUGUCUUGUUACUUUCAGUCCAGGGAGUCUUAAAAUUGGGCACUGUGUUUGUUUGUAUGGCUGUAAAGUAAUACCUGAGGCUUAGAAAUUUAUAAAGAAAAGAGGUUUAUUUGGCUCACAGUUCUGCAGGCUGUACAAGAAGCAUGAUGCCAACAUCUGCUUCUGAUGGCCUCAAGUUGCUUCCACUCAUGGCAGAAAGUGAAAGGGAGCUGGUGUGUCACAUGGCGAGAGAGGGAGGAAGGCAGAGACAGCCAGAGAGUUCCAGGCUAUUUUCAACAACCAGUUCUCUUGGGAACUAAGAAUAGGAAUUCACUCACUCCUACAAAAAUGGCACCGAGCUAUUCAUGGGGGAUCCAACCUCACAAUUCAAACACCUUCCAAUAGGCCCUGCCUCCAACAUAAGGGUCACAUUUCAACACGAAACUUGACAGGACCAAAGGAACUAUAUCCAAACCAUAGCAGGCAUUAUUUCCAAAAUGAUGCCACUCCUAUAUGGGAGAGAGGUGAAGUGAUUUUAUAUUUUUCACUGAUUACUACUUUUAUUUAAUAAUUAUGCACUAAUUUUUAUAGUUGCAAUAUACUAUUGGCCCAGGAUACUGGGUUUCCUUUUAUGGUGGUAAUAUAUAGUUUUUCUCUUAGUUAAAUGCUUUUAGGCAACAAAAGUUGAUUUAAAGAACUUACAAAUAAGAAAAAGUUAUACAGAUAUUACUCAACUAUGACAAUUGUGAAAUUGUGAAGGUGGCACAUGAGUGAAUGACAUUUGAGACAUACUGCAUUAUACAUGUUGCUUAUCUGCAGAGUUAAUUUGGUGUUUAUUGGUGUAAGAACAAAGUUGAAGGGUCUAAGUCUUCUGUCUAUAAUCUCAACCUUGAAUUACUGUCUUAAGCAAUUAAAAAUGCAAACUGCACCUGAAGAAUUAAGAAGAAAGGAUGAAACAACUCUCACAGCAUUUUGCUGAGUGGACAGAAGGAUCAUCUUAGCAAUGGAUUUUAUCACAUAAUUAAAGAGGGAUUCCCUGAUUAAUUAAAUGAAGAGGCAAACUCAUUUAAACUGGUGAUGCUAAGAAGAAAUUACUGCAAUAUUUUUCUUCAGCCAAAAUAAAGUGAAUAGAUAUAGCUCUA